UACGUAGGGUGCGAGCGUUUAAUCGGAAUUACUGGGCGUAAAGCGUGCGCAGGCGGCUUCGCAAGUCAGACGUGAAAUCCCCGGGCUUAACCUGGGAAUGGCGUUUGAAACUACGGAGCUGGAGUGUGGCAGAGGGAGGUAGAAUUCCACGUGUAGCGGUGAAAUGCGUAGAUAUGUGGAGGAACACCGGUGGCGAAGGCGGCAUCCUGGACCGGCAUUGACGCUGAGGCGCGAAAGCCAGGGGAGCAAACGGG
rnacentral:rRNA from 1 species